UCUUCCGUUUGCCGCGUGCUAAUAUGAAAAGCCCUAACUUGUUCGACAUCGUCUCUUCUGUCUGCUUGGUGUUCAUUGUCGCUCGCAAGCCAUUGCCGCCUCUUUUGUCUGCGUGUCAUUUCGUCGUUGCCCGUGGUUGCUCGUUGCUCAUGGUUGCGCGUUCUGUUCGUGGUCGCUCGCAAGCAGGUUCGUUGCUUCAUCGUGGCCCUUUCCCGUGGUUACACGGCAGCUGUUGAUGUAUUAGAGCAUUUCUCUAUUCACCAAUCUGGGCAGUCUCUUCUCUAUAGCAUGCUGCAGAACAAUGAAUUUAAAGCAGCUGAGAAAUGGGCCACUUUCAUGGGAAAUCCAAUGUUACAUUUGCUUGUCCAGGACUUGAUAAAUAGAAACAAGCUAAAAAGUGCAUAUGGAGUUAUAAAGAAAAAUGAUUUGCAGAAGGAAUUUCCCGAUGUCUAUCAGAAGUGUAAGAGAGCUCCUUGAAGAAUUUAGCCGAAGAAGGAUGUUGGGAUGGUGCUGAGGCAAAAAUAAACAGCAAUAGGCAAUUUCUUGAAUAUUUGGUUUACUUGGCAUUGGAAGCUGGUUAUUUCAAAAAAGUUGAUGAACUUUGCAAUAGGUACUCCCUUACAGGUUUUCUGAAUAACAAAGAACGUAAGGGAAGUUAUGGACAGAAGUUACCGAACCACUAUUUGAAUCUUAAUCAACUAAUUGCUGGAGAUAUUUUAUGGGUUGACAAUGCUGAUGCUUUACAUCAUGCAACACGCCAUAUCGAGGAGUGUAGUUGUAGGUAUUGAUUGUGAGUGGAAACCUAACUAUAUAAAGGGCAAGAAACAGAACAAGUGGUCCUGGUAAACUAUUGUUUUAGGCUUCAUUUUCCUAUUGUUUCUUCUAGAAACAAGGCAUAUAGUAAUUUAUGUAUUACAGUGUCCUUUACAAGUCGGAACCACUAAAUUGGGAGUUAUGAUGUGGAAGUAUCUUCUUUGAGGCAUGAAAUAAAAGAGUUAAAUGAGAGGUUGGAAACCGCAAAUGCAAGGGCUCAAUCGUUUGAGAAGAAGCAAGGAUAUUGCAACAAGAAAAAGUUCAUAUUGUAACUUAGACAUGUAUAUUUUGUUUAUAUUAAAUAAGAAAAGGUUCAUAUCGUAGCUUAGACAUGUAUAUGGUUCAUUGAUAUAUAUAUAUGCAAUUUCUUUGAUGGAAA